CCGGUUGAUCCUGCCGGCGGCCACUGCUAUUGGGUUUCGCUUAAGCCAUGCGAGUCGAGAGGGUUCGGCCCUCGGCAGACUGCUCAGUAACACGUGGAGAACUUGCCCUAGGCUGGAGAAUAACCUCGGGAAACUGAGGAUAAUGCUCCAUAGUCCACCCAUCCUGGAACGGUAAGUGGAUGAAAGCUCCGGCGGCCUAGGAUAGCUCUGCGGCCUAUCAGGUUGUAGCGAGGGUAACGUCCUCGCUAGCCUACGACGGGUAUGGGUGUUGGGAGACAUCGCCCAGAGAUGGAUUCUGAGACACGAAUCCAGGCCCUACGGGGUGCAGCAGGCGCGAAAACUUUACAAUGCCGGCAACGGCGAUAAGGGGACCUCGAGUGCCAGGUUACAAAUCUGGCUGUCGUGAUGCCUAAAAAGCAUUGCAUAGCAAGGGCCGGGCAAGACCGGUGCCAGCCGCCGCGGUAACACCGGCGGCUCGAGUGGUAACCGUUAUUAUUGGGUCUAAAGGGUCUGUAGCCGGCCGGAUAAGUCUCUUGGGAAAUCUGGCAGCUUAACUGUCAGGCUUUCAGGAGAUACUGUCUGGCUCGAGGCCGGGAGAGGUGAGAGGUACUUCAGGGGUAGGGGUGAAAUCUUGUAAUCCUUGAAGGACCACCAGUGGCGAAGGCGUCUCACCAGAACGGACCUGACGGCAAGGGACGAAAGCUAGGGGCACGAACCGGAUUAGAUACCCGGGUAGUCCUAGCCGUAAACGAUACUCGCUAGGUGUCGGCCACGGUGCGACCGUUGUCGGUGCCGUAGGGAAGCCGUGAAGCGAGCCACCUGGGAAGUACGGCCGCAAGGCUGAAACUUAAAGGAAUUGGCGGGGGAGCACCACAACGGGUGGAGCUUGCGGUUUAAUUGGAUUCAACGCCGGG
rnacentral:rRNA from 1 species